rnacentral:rRNA from 1 species
AUUGAACGCUGGCGGCAGGCCUAACACAUGCAAGUCGAGCGAGCGGCGGACGGGUGAGUAAUGUAUGGGGAUCUGCCCGAUAGAGGGGGAUAACUACGGGAAACGGUGGCUAAUACCGCAUACUAUAGGAUGAACCCAUUUGUGAUUAUCUAGUAUGUGGGGUAAAGGCUCACCAAGGCGACGAUCUCUAGCUGGUCUGAGAGGAUGACCAUCCACACUGGGAUUGAGACACGGCCAAGACUCCUACGGGAGGCAGCAGUGGGGAAUAUUGCACGAUGGGAGCAACCCUGAUGCAGCCAUGCCGCGUGUAUGAAGAAGUCCUUAGGGUGGUAAAGGACUUUCAGCGGGGAGGCGUUACCUGCAGAAGAAGCACCGGCUAACUCCGUGCCAGCAGCCGCGGUAAUUC